UUAAAUUAAAUAAAACAAAUUGUGUCAUCUUCUUCCACUAUCCAUCUUCACCGAAAUUUCAACCUAAAAUCAGCCAUGGGAAAUCUUGUUAUUCGGCCAAACUUUGAAGACAAAUUGGUGAGUGGUUUUUGCUCGGUUUUUAAUAAUUUCUACGUUUUUGAGAUCGUUGCUUCGUAAUUUAGCUAACCCGUACCUCCGUUUCUAAAACUGUUAAAGAUUUUGUGAAUUUCCAUUGUUGAAUACUUGAGCUCUUUGAUAGUUUUUGAUGAAAUAUGAAUAUUUGAUGUUAGAUUUUUCAUCUUUUAUAAAGUGAUUUUUGAUAAAAAUGUUAAUUAGGGAUUAAAUUGUGAAAUGUGGAAAUUUAGUGGUUAAAAUGUGAAAAAAUUGAAAAUAUGGGCUGCUAGUGAUAUAUGGAAAAUUCGGCUAGCUUGGAUUUGUGUUUAAUUUCGUGAAAUUGUGAUUUUAUGUGAUAAGGACUAAAUUGUAAAAAUAUGAAAUUAUGGGGGAAAAGUGUAAAUAUGCUUUAAGGUAAAUUUUGGAUUAAAUUGAAUAGAGAGAUAAUUAAAUAAGAUGAUUUUGAUUAUAUUUAGAUCGAGAAAAGCGAAAUACAGAUCUAGAUUGGAGAAAAGAUAAAGUAUCGGACCAGUCGAUCUGUUCCGUUGUUUUAGCAAUCGAGGUAAGUUCAUAUAAUCGAACUUCAGUGUAUAUUUAUGUAAUUAAUGAAUGUAUUCAUAUAAUCGAUUUAAUUGUGGAGCUUAAAUUAAAUUUUUGAAAUAAGUAAAAAUGCAGAAUCGAACACAAUCGUUUCGUAACGAAAGACGAAUUGGCGAAAAAGACCAUGGUUGGACCAUGGCAUUACAUGAUUUCAUAUAAGACCAUAGCUGGGCUAUGGCACCGAUAUAUGAGACUUUGUGUAAGACCAUAUAUGGGAUAUGGCAUCGAUAUAUAUGAUUACGUGUAAGACCAUGUCUGGGACAUUGGCAUCGUUAUGUGAUUUCGUGUAAGACCAUAGCUGGGCUAUUGACAUCGAUAUGUGAUAACAUGUAAGGCCAUAUCUGGGAUAUGGCAUUGUAUGUGUUAUACGAGACUUCCGAGUAUCUUUAACGAUUCUAAAUGGUUCAUCACGCAAAGUUAAGACAAGAAUGAAAGUUCAAUUGAAUUAAGCAACACAGGUACGUUUAGAAGCUAUGUGAGAGUUAAAUGAAGGUAAUUUAAUGAGAAUUAUUAGUGUAUAAUUAUUUUUUAUGCCAAAAUGUGUUUAUUUGGCUAUAAUGAGGUAUGAAUUGAAUGAUAUGUGUGAUAUGAGCAAUGAUUGUGUUAAUGAUAUGAAUAUGGCACAUUGAGUGAGAAUUAAAAUUAUUUUAAUGAUAAUUUACAUGAUUUUUUCGACUAUAGAAAUGUGAUGAAUAAUGGAUCAAAUAAAGCUAUAUAUUGUUGCUUAUGUAUUUGUAAAUAAGAAUGAAGUGAUAAGAAGUUUAAGAGGCAUACGAGCUUUGAAAUGAAUAAACUCGUGGAAAUCUUGUUUAAUCAUGUGCAUGAAUAUGAGGUAGAAUUGUGAAAUCAAAUGAGCUAUAUUAUGACUUGAUGCAAUUGUUUGUAAUGUGGUUAUUUAGUAAUAUGAGUUAUUAUAUUACGAGCUUACUAAGCUUUAUAGCUUACUUGGUGUUUUUUUUUAUGUUUUACAGUGUUUGGGACAUUCGCUCGGGUUGAAAGUCGACGGAGAUUGCAUCACACUAUUCAGCUAAUAAUUUUGGUAUUUAUAUACUUUGUGACUUGGUUAUAUAGCAUGUAUAGGCUAUGGUUAUUUUGGUUUACUAUGGAAAGUGUAUUUGGCCAUAUGGUUUGGCAUGUUUUAAGUAUGUAUUUGGUUAUUUUGAAUAGGCUAGUUUUUAAUGUGUUUGGUUUUGAUGAUAUAUAUAUAUUUAGCCAUGCAAAAAUUGGCAUGAUUAUAAUGCUAAUGGUUGUGUAAAUUUGAUCAUGGUAUAAGCACAUUUUGAUCAUGCUAAUGGUUUGGUUAUAUGUCUUGGUUGAGUAAUGAUAUGAAUGACUUAUAAAUAGCUCAUUUAGUAAGCUUGGUA
rnacentral:lncRNA from 1 species